GACGAACGCUGGCGGCGUGCUUAAUACAUGCAAGUCGAACGGUAAGGCGAUGCUUUUGUGGGGUGCUCGAGUGGCGAACGGGUGUGUAUCACGCGAGUAACCUGUCCUUGACUGUGGGAUAACUCCAGGAAACUGGGGAUCAUACAGGAUAGGAGCUCCUGCUGCAUGGUGGGGGUUGGUAAGUUUCGGAGGUUGGGCAUGGACUGGUGGCUUAUCAGCUUGUUGGUGGGGUAGUGGCUUACCAAGGCUUUGACGGGUAGCCGGCCUGGGAGGGUGACCGGGCACAGUGGGACUGGGAUACGGCCCAGACUCCUACGGGAGGCAGCAGUGGGGAAUAUUGCACAAUGGGCCGAAGCCUGAUGCAGCAACGCCGCGUGGGGGAUGUCGGCCGUCGGGUUGUAAACCGCUUUCGCCUGUAACGAAGCGUGAGUGACGGUAAUGGGUAAAGAAGCACCGGCUAACUACGUG
rnacentral:rRNA from 1 species